rnacentral:lncRNA from 13 species
AAUUGCUCGAGGGAAGCACCGUUGAGCUGGAGCCUGGGUGAGGAGUCGCCACAGGUAGCUCUGCAGCAACUGGGAAGGAAAGAGAGCUGGAGAGAAAAAAAAAAAAAGACUACACCUGGCUCAGCUGUACCGAAUCUGAAGGAAUCCAGGUGAAGGGGUUCCACACACAGAGCCCAGUGACCGGGAAGUCAGGCCUGCAUUAGAGGGUCCAAGCACUGCCCACUGGACUUGCCACAGGCAUCCAAAGUGAAUGAGCUCCCCAGUAGCACAUGCAGAAACAAAGCAGAACAGUGCAAAGCUAAGGCCUGCGUCUGAACGGCGAGCACAAGCAGAGCAGACAGAGCCAAAAAUUCAGGGAGGGGCCGGAGGCUGCUGCAGUCUGGGAGAAAGCUCCCAGCAAUGUGGGGAAAAGCUGGACACAGCAGCUGAACCGCCCUGCUCAAGGAAACGGAACUGCAGGAGAGAACAUGGAAAGGCCGUAAAGGCAGAGGACGCCGGAGGGUCCUGAAUAAGGACGGGCUGUCUAGAGCUGAGGUUGAGAUCACUGGCUCUCACGCUUCCGUGUACAGGGUAAGUCCCAUUAACUCUGAUGGGACAUCGCUCACGGACAUCAAACGCGAGACCUUUCUGUGUGACUUGCUGAGCUUCUCACAGAGGGGAGAAGUGCAGCUCCCUGCUUCCUGUUAGCCAUUCGCUUCUCACCUGCCCCUUUUAGGGUUUCUCCAAAGCUGCCUUCAGCAUCUUGGAGUCUUUUAUUUAAACCGAAUGGCCCGAUGCCCUGAUUGAAGAUGAGGCAGCAAGUGCCGGCUGAGCUGAGAAGCGUGUGCAGGUGGGCUUCGUGGCACCGAGGCUCUGCCGGUGGUUCUCUGCUUCAGCAGACAAAGACGUGAGUUUUCUAACUUGGUAUCAGAGGAAAGCAGCAUCGUCCAUGCAGUCAGGAGAUGGGAAUUAAUGAUCAGGGAGCCCACAGCCUAACUGUCUCUAAAAUUUAAGUUAUGAAC